rnacentral:sRNA from 1 species
GAAAAAUUAAUUCAUCCUAAAUAUCAAGAGAUUUUAUCUAGCAUUUCAGAGCAAAAGGCUGAUCUGAAUGAAAACUCCCAGAAAUUGACAACAGCAAUCGACAAACACGGAGAAGACUCGCACAGAGAAAUAGACGUCAUCAUACAGAAACUGAAAUCUGAUCUUGAUGAAAUGGACACCAAACACCUGGCUGUCUUAAACAAACAGGAAGAUGAAAUCACACGCACCAUUUCUGAAAUCACACAGACCAUUGCUGAUCUGAAGAAGUUACUGGACUCCAAUGAUGUCAGCCGUGUCUCUGCCUACAAAUCCAGGAAUGAUGAAUUCAGAAGAUUGCCUCCUAAACUCACUGUUUCCUUACCAAGUUUUAUUUCUCAGAAGAUCAACAAAGAACAGCUUUAUCAACAGUUUGGUUCUCUGUCAGCGUCAUCUAUCAAAACAGAAGAACAUGGCUACACAAUGGAUUCUUACUGGGACAGACUGCUCAUUGAAGUACCACGGAUUAUCACAGAGAUAAACACUGCGGUUUUUGGAUUAUCCAGUGUGUCCUGUGUGAGUGAUGAAGAUAUCUGGACGUGUAGCUUAUAUGACAACAUGAUGAGUCUCUACAACCUGCAAAGGGAAAUAGUGAAGUCAGUCCAAACCAAGUCAGGGAUUGUUCCAUGGGACAUAGCAGUGACAAGGAGUGGGGAUCUAGUUUAUACUGAUGACAAUGAUAGAACUGUGAACAUAGUGAAGAAUACACAGAUAGAGACAGUGAUCGGACUACAGGGGUGGAGACCUCGUGGUGUCUGUAGUACCUCCUCUGGUGACCUCCUGGUUGUCUUGGUCAGUGAUGAUUGUAAACAAACAAAAGUUGUGCGUUACUCUGGCUCCACAGAGAAACAAAGUAUUCAGUACGACGACAAAGGACAAACUCUCUACUCAUUUGGUGACUAUAAAUCCAUCAGUGAGAACAGGAACCUAGAUAUCUGUGUGUCAGACUAUGAAGCCCAUGCAGUAGUGGUGGUCAAUCAGUCCGGGAAACUCCGGUUUUCCUACACUGGUCUUCCCUCUUCUUCUGAGGAACCAUUUGAUCCCCGCCGCAUCACAACAGACAGCCAGGGUCGGAUCCUGAUAGCAGACUGUACCAACCACUGUAUCCACAUCCUGGAUCAGGACGGACAGUUCCUCCGCUACAUUGACAACUGUCAUCUACAGUAUCCAUGGGGUUUAUGUGUGGACACCAGAGACAACCUCUUUGUGGCUGAGGUAAUGGGUAAAGUGAAGAAAAUACAAUAUUACAUGUAAUUGAUGUAAAUAAACAAUACAUGUGACAAUACACAAACAUAAGAUGAUGUGUAAUUACAUUUAGAUAGACUCCGUAUAUACACUGGUAUUGAUGAAAACUGCUUGUUUGUCAUGUAAACAAAUUACAUAUGGACAUUUUGUGUACAUGUUUAUUGAUUCCACAUAAAGAAUUGUUCUACAUAGGGAUGUCCGUUAGUUUAAAUAAGUCCAGAGGGCUCACAUGUUUUAUACAACACAGUUCAGUUUUAUAUAAGAUGCAUUUUACUAACAAAACAUUGAUGCAUAAUGUGCAUGAUGGCUUCAUUUGUUAUUGACUUCAUAUUGAGUAGUCGACAAAGAAAACUCGUGUUGACAUCAUUUGUUCUACAUUUGAUGUAUCCUUUUAUGAUUUUGCAUGAUUACCGUAUUUAGAUAUUACUGGUAAAUUAUGUGGAUGCACUACUCAUAACAUAUUGAGUUUAAUAAAACAACCACUGUACAUUU